UUUCUAUGAUGAUACUUUUGACCAGUUCUGCUACUGAAUGGAAGUGGUGAUAAUGUUCAAUGCUGAGAAA